CGGGACGGGUGAGUAACGCGUGGAUAACCUGCCUCACACUGGGGGAUAACAGUUAGAAAUGACUGCUAAUACCGCAUGAGCGCACAGUACCGCAUGGUACGGUGUGAAAAACUCCGGUGGUGUGAAAUGGAUCCGCGUCUGAUUAGCCAGUUGGCGGGGUAACGGCCCACCAAAGCGACGAUCAGUAGCCGACCUGAGAGGGUGACCGGCCACAUUGGGACUGAGACACGGCCCAA
rnacentral:rRNA from 1 species